GUAGGUGGCAAGCGUUGUCCGGAUUUACUGGGCGUAAAGAGCGCGCAGGCGGUCGUGCAAGUCGCGUGUGAAAGCCCCCGGCUCAACUGGGGAGGGUCACGCGAUACUGCUCGACUCGAAGGCAGGAGAGGGAAGUGGAAUUCCCGGUGUAGUGGUGAAAUGCGUAGAUAUCGGGAGGAACACCAGUGGCGAAGGCGACUUCCUGGCCUGUUCUUGACGCUGAGGCGCGAAAGCUAGGGUAGCAAACGGGAUUAGAUACCCCGGUAGUCCUAGCCGUAAACGAUGGACACUAGGUGUUGGUGGUAUCAACCCCGCCAGUGCCGAAGCUAACGCAUUAAGUGUCCCGCCUGGGGAGUACGGCCGCAAGNNUA
rnacentral:rRNA from 1 species